CAAACAGGUAAAAAAGUCCAACAAUCCGCAAGGUGUACUUUGGGCAUCACGCUUAUACUGAGUAAAGCUGAGAGUGGCUUUCUCCUGACACAAAUGAAGGUCAUCACCAGGGGCUGGUUCACAUUGCCAUGUAUCUGCUGACCUCAGAGGAGCUCUCACUUUCACGCUGCUUGUUAUAGACAAAGAAAUGCCAUCCUUCACCCCUAAAUGCCUGUGAGACUCUCAUCACUUAGAGGUUUUCAGGUAUAAAGCAUCAGGUGCACUGCUGCUCUGCCUUGCUCUGGGGUUUGCCUGUGGCAGAAAGCAAUUACUUAAUGCCUGCACCUUGGGCAUUCAUCAUGACUGCAUGGAUUGAGCCCCAGAGCACAGGACGGAGCUCUGGAGACAUCCGCAGUUCUUUCAGAACAUGAAUGCUGAGGUUCAGCAGCCAGACCUGCAAGACUUGGUUCAACUCACCCAAAUGCACAGGAGGAAUAUACCGAAUGUGACAUUCAGUAAUCGCGCUCAGAAAGAAGCAGCAUUCAAAAGGCCAAGCCUCACGAACAAGAUGAGAAGGAAUGAGGGAAAUACAUGGGUUCCACAGGCACAAUGCCAUAUUUGUUGUUGGACAUUGAAGACAGCUGGAGGAAGUGGCAAGGAAAAAAAUAGUCUGUAUCAUCUAUGGAAAUAUGUUACAGAAUCAAACAGGAACAAAAACCUGAGAGACUAAAUUAUCUGUAACUAAAUUGUCUGUGUAUAGCAUGAUUGCACAUGUAGUUACAUUUUGUACUGUAGUCAUGAAAGCAAUUUCUGAGGAAUAAGCUCAGCAGGAGGCUUGUGGGCAAGAAAUUGCAAAGUGCAACACUUGGAUGGAAAGUACCAGAAGCAGGUGGCAAGUUGCAUUCAUGGCUGUGAUGUGGUAAAGGGGAAAAGGAGACCCAUAGAAGCCUUCCAAGAAGAGAUGAGACUGAGUGAGCCUCAGCCAGAGAAAUGUUACUAAGUGGUGCAUGACAGAGUCCUUUAUGAAUAAAUUAAAGGAACAGUGAGGUGAUGGAGGUGUAGACAAAGACUGAAAAAAACUGAAAGCCUGUUUUGCGUUGAAAGCCUUUUUUGUGGACCUUCACUUCUGCUAUCAGUUUUUGUCUGCUGCUUAUAUGCCACCAUCCUAAAUGUGCAAAAGAUACAUUGGCCAGGUAGGUGACAGUCAGGAACCCCGGGGUAUAGGGAAAAGUGUAUGUGCUGAGAGGAACACGUGAUCUGUAAAGUGGAUGAUGGAAAAAGAACUCAGCAGAGAUGGCCAUGGAAAGAAGAAACUGCAGCUUAACUAGGCCGUGAUAAAUGGCCACCAUCAGGAUCAUCAUCACCAGGAAAGACAAACGGGCAAGUUCUACUGAGGUAGUGCUAGCCAGUCUCUAGCCCAAUUAUGCUUCAGAUUUAUUAUUUCUUAACAAUAUUGCUGUUUACCAAUGGCCCUGUAACAUGCUGAAUUGCUUACAAUACCACCCACUUACCUGUCAUGCAGUUCUAAAGAGUAUUAAAUGAAACCCUUUUAUAAAACAAACAUUCUCCUCUCAAAUCUACAUCGCUAGGGUCUCUGUCAGAAUAGAUGCGCUGAUAGUUCUUGGAAUUUUCCACCAUAUGGUCUGGCAGAUUUGCUUCCACUACUGGUGGGCUGCAAUUCCCAAUCAGAAGGAGAAGUCACAGCACAGCAGGUUAUGAAAUGAGGGAAAAUUCCAUCAUUUCAAUAGUGUGGUGACCAAUGGCAAAGUGAACGCUUUUUCUGUUUCAUGUUUGGAUCAUGAAACAAUGACUCUGCAGAGUUCAGCUCUGGGGAAUUGCAUGCUACGUGACUCCUUUGCAAAACAGUACUCUCCUGUCUUAUUUUGUCUCUUACUUUGUUUUCAUUCUUUAGGUAAAAUUCUGGCCUCGCUGUAGAUGAUGUGAUUUGAAGGAAGGAUGUCAAACCCUUUUUCUUUUCUGGAUAGCUCAGAACAGUACAGAAAAGUCUUUUCUAUCUCAGCCAUUCUCCUUAAUAAUUACUUUACAGCACAUAGUUUAAAAUGAACAAAUUAGCAUAUUUUGAAUUCACCCCAGCACUAUUUUUGACAUUAAAAACAGGAACUAAAUUAAGUCCCAAACUACAUUAAAAAUACUAUAUUGGAAACUUGGUUCCACCACAGUUACUUUCAAUUCACUGCAAAGUAGGGUUCUGACUAAGAGAACCCAGUGGAGCUGUAUUGUAUUUGGUGUCAAGAGGCUGAAGUUCCCCACAGGUAGGGUAGCAUGGAACACCACUGAUGUCAGGCAAAUGCAGUGAACUGCAACUGUGUUCCUAAAUGCCACUGAGAUUUCUCAGUAAGGCUGCAUAUCUAACGUGCUACCACCAGCGUGAAAGUUGUUGUGGUGUUUGGACUGCAAGCUGAUGGAGCCUGGGCUCUAACAAAUCUCAGGCAGCAGUGAACCCCAGUCUUGAAGCUGCACCAAGAAUGCCUUAUUAUUCCGUGCCAGAGCUUGGGGCAAAUAACAACAGUUUUCUGCUUUUUUGCAACUGAUAGUGCUAGUGCAGGAAGUCUCAAAGAGGACAUGAAUUAUUUCUUGUCGAUAUUAGCCGUUCUUCCGUGGGUAUUUAUUUAUUUGUUCUGUUACCUUUGUGUAGUCCGCUGCAGAGGGGCAGAAAGGUACCCCCGAAUUCUGGGUGUUCCCACAGAUUCUGUGGAAGUCUGAUAUUUGUACAGGGACAAUCUUUGGUGUUUGGAAACUGAUACAUGGUAAUUGUUCAAAGCUUCUGCUCUGCUCGGUGGAGGCUGACAGGUCAGGGAGGGCUGAGUCCUUGUAGGGAGCUCCUGAGAAAUUGGAAACGUUUCCCAGGUAGCGGAUGAGAGAGGAAGGGUCUGCAGGAAGGCAGCCUAUAACCUUAUGCACAGACAGGAGAAGGCAUAACAAGUGGCACUUACCAAGCAAGCACUGAGAAAAGUCCUAUGGUUAGGCCAGGCACUAUAUUCUUUUCUUUCCCCUUUCUGUAUUUCCAGAGGUAGGUGAAGUGUAAGUAAAGAGCUGUUUUGCAUAAGGUGGUUGCUAGCAUUGCAUACCAAAGGGCUCCCUCUGUUCAAGGGAAGUAGCAUUGUAUUAUCACAUCCAUAUGGAUAAACACUCUUGCUUCCCAAAGCAGGGUCAUCUUUCCCAUACUCUCUACUGGAAACAGCCCCUGGGCUGAUAUCCCUUGAACACGUCCAGUCAUUGUCAGGGGGAGCUGGCGCAGGCCAGGCAGUGUGCUGAGAAAUAAGCAGCGUGGAUGACAGAGCCAGUGCAACAUGUGCUGCGCUCCUGUUUUAUUUAUCACAGGGGCUUAAACAUUGAAUGUUCUGCUGUCAUUAUCCUGCUCCUCGAGGGAGUAAGCCUCAUUUAGAUCCAUUAGAUUGGUUGGUACCGCCCCUCACAUUAGAGGAGUAUUCCAAAUCUUACUCCUCAGAGGCCUAGAUGCCUAAUUAGAAGUCUGAACGAGAGCCCUGCGCUGUGGAAGUUGCCUGCAAACAAAAUUCUUUACUCUUUCUGCUGAAGACUCAAUACACACACUGGGAGAGGACUACAGAGAGUAGUCACUGUAAGAGAGGAUGCCUGUCUUGGAUAUGAUAAACAGGAAAGCAUAAUUCACAUUGCUGAUAGAUGUAUUUGGUCCAGUGAGAACAGCCGUCAAAACCGUCCCUUGUGGAAUGAUGCAUUUCUGGUGGCGUAUCUGCUCUGAAAAACGAAGAGGGAAGAUCAGAUAAUCCAAGUGAUGCAGAAUGGAUUUGCUGUUGCACAGAGAAAUAAAACGAUCUGGGUUUGUGAGAUCUGGUAUGUGAGAGCAGAGAUAAGAAAGAGGGGAACUGUAAUGUUUUCAUUGCACAGGGGAAAUGAAGUACCUGCAUAGGGAAGCAAAGGCAAAAAAGGUCCAAAGAAAAGGAUUUGAAAUGCUUUAAGAUUUAUGAGUGAUUAACCAGCUUAUAUGUAACCCAAAUAUCUUUGCCGACAAGCUGGCUUUUUUUUUUUCAUAGCUAGAAAUCAUCCUUAAGGGUUUUCCAAAAUCCAAUAUUCUCACAUUAAGCAUGACCCCUACCAGACUGAAAAAUAACAAUUCUAGAUUUGGACUUCAAAACACAAAGCUGGAAAUGUUCAGAACGGGGGUUUAGCUUGGCCUUUGUGAAGGUUUAAAGACCCCUUGAGAGUCUGGAGAUGUUUGACCCUGUUUGGAUAUGAAAGAACAGGCAUCAACUAGAGAACUCAGAGAAAUUUGCUACUGCUGUGAAGAUGAGCUUCCCUUCCACUCUAUGUAUAGGAGAGAAAUGAAUCAUUCAUUCACAGAAUGGUUUGGGUUGGAAGGGACCUUAAGGACCACCCAGUUCCAACCCCCUGCCAUGGGCAGGGACGCCUUCUUCUAAAGGUAAAUACCACUAAAUGAGGUGGCCUUUGCUUUCAGAGGUGGUGCAGAAAUGACUUUUCUCCCUAAUUUCCUCUCUGAUCCAGAUCUCUUUCUACAGGUAAUUAAUCCUUGUAGUUCGCUAUUAUUCUGCCAGAUGAUCUCUGCUGAACUGUCAAAAGCUUGUUGACUUCACAUUGCCUUCAAACUGGCUGGUGCAGUUAGAAAUCAAACUUGUUUAUAGAAAGCAGGUUUCAAAACAGCUGACACUGUCUGAGAAAGGUGCAGAAAUACUGUGAAGGCAAUUCAUUGUUUCGACCUCAAUACCAGAUUACAUACUACCUUCUCAUACACGCUGAACAAAUCACUCUCAGCAAAGGCAUAUAGUGGUGAUGAUUUAUGGCUUCAUUUUCUAGGAGCUGGUAUGCAUUGAGAUCUGGUUUAUGUUCCCUGGCACAGGAUUCACUCAACAUUGCAAGUAUUUUUCAAAGACGUAUUAGAAGAUUUAGGAGCUUUAAUCCCCUUUUUAAAAGUAAUUAAUGUAUUUGUAAGGCUAAGGAGGAACUUACAGCUGUAUCGCAUGUUUUGACAAGUUCCUGUCACUCAGCUGAACUGCAGUAGUGACAGCAUACGUGCAUUCUUUCUGCUUGUAUCCUGUUUCACUGAAAUCCAGUGUGACAGUUUCCCAGUUUGUGUACAGUUGUGCAGGUCAAAUGAGGUCAUAAGUGCUCUAUUUUUUUUUCUUUUUUUUUUUUUUUAUGGAAAAGCUGUUUGUAGUUGAAAUAAUAAGCAGGGAAUUAUUAACACAUUUUGAAAAAUCUUUUUUUUUUUUCCCUCCUUUUCUUGAAGAAAGUAUGAAGCCAAUGAGAUGACCAUCUGUAACUACCGAGUUUUGAGAGGCCAGUCUGGCAGCUCUACUUCAGUCCCUGACUCUGUUACAGUGUUAUUCAGUGUCCUGUGUUUCCCUACAAAACUAUAAUCCUUGAUUCCUAAAAAACAUGCCCUUUGAGACUUUGGGCAUGCACAACUGUGGCUUGACUUGUGUUCAGGCUUCAAAGUUGCUAAAGACAGUACAGAAGCAUACACUCAGAGCAGAGCUGUGACUGCGUCUUAUAGCAUGGUCUUUCUCUGAUGGUCGGCCGUAUCUUGGCUGCUUAGGUUAUGAUCACAAGAUUCAGGCUGUCAACCCUUUAGAAAGCGUUGUGUAAGAGCAUGAGAAGAGCUAAACCCAAAGACCCGCCUGUGCCAGCUCCCUGUACAUCACCCCAUGAGCAUUUGGCGAAACGCAGGCAGUGGUGGAUGCCUGGGAAGUGCACCAGUGCUGAGCAGCGUGCAGUGGUACUUCCUCGCAGUUCUGCCCCUGCCUCCCAAGGUUCCCACCUGGGUGCAUCCCAAGGGAACACACAGAGUGACAAACACAGGUAGGAGCUAUUCAUGCUGCGAGGGAUUUCAGUGGUUUGCCAGGAAUGCAGAGUUCACAAAGAUCCAGAUGUGUUUAUGUUCUGGUUUCCCUGUGAGCAUCUGUUUAUCUUCCCCAGUGCCUGUGACCUUUAUCUGUUCACAUUAGUAGCCAUUCUGCCUUCUUCUCAUAAAACUGCUUUAUUCUUCCUUGUUGAUGUCUCCAAGAAGAGUGAUUAGGUUGUUUUGGGGACCAAGUUGUCUCCAGGGCUGCCACACAUGCCUGUGUGAAGUUGAUAUAUGGCCACCAGCUACGCUCCCAUUCCAUCCAGCACAGUUAGCAUCAGCUUCUUCCCUGUGAAUGCUCUUGGAUUCUUUAGCAACACAGCUGAAAUUCAGGGAAGUACCAGUGCUGAACGUAUUACAGUAACCUUUGGAGAGGAAUACUUUCUUGCUAUGCCCCUAUGGAGCUUUUUCCCUGUGGAAUGUAUCCCCUACAGACAAUCCUAUGGAGACUGAGAGAAGACAGUUCAAUUAUAUAAAGAGCUCAAGAGGACUU